rnacentral:rRNA from 1 species
CCUACGGGGGGCGGCAGUGGGGAAUAUUGCACAAUGGGGGAAACCCUGAUGCAGCGACGCCGCGUGAGUGAAGAAGUAUUUCGGUAUGUAAAGCUCUAUCAGCAGGGAAGAAAAUGACGGUACCUGACUAAGAAGCCCCGGCUAACUACGUGCCAGCAGCCGCGGUAAUACGUAGGGGGCAAGCGUUAUCCGGAUUUACUGGGUGUAAAGGGCGUGCAGCCGGGCCGACAAGUCAGAUGUGAAAUCCGCGGGCUUAACCCGCGGACUGCAUUUGAAACUAUUGGUCUUGAGUACCGGAGAGGUCA